GUAGUCCACGCCGUAAACGUUGGGCACUAGGUGUGGGACCCUAUCGACGGGAUCCGUGCCGUAGCUAACGCAUUAAGUGCCCCGCCUGGGGAGUACGGCCGCAAGGCUAAAACUCAAAGGAAUUGACGGGGGCCCGCACAAGCGGCGGAGCAUGUUGCUUAAUUCGAUGCAACGCGAAGAACCUUACCUAGGCUUGACAUGCACCGAAAAGCCACAGAGAUGUGGUGUCCUUCGGGGCGGUGCACAGGUGGUGCAUGGUUGUCGUCAGCUCGUGUCGUGAGAUGUUGGGUUAAGUCCCGCAACGAGCGCAACCCUUGUCCUAUGUUGCCAGCGGGUAAUGCCGGGGACUCGUAGGAGACUGCCGGGGUCAACUCGGAGGAAGGUGGGGAUGACGUCAAAUCAUCAUGCCCCUUACGUCUAGGGCUGCAAACAUGCUACAAUGGCCGGUACAAAGGGCUGCUAUCCCGCGAGGGUGAGCGAAUCCCAAAAAGCCGGUCUCAGUUCGGAUUGGAGUCUGCAACUCGACUCCAUGAAGUCGGAGUCGCUAGUAAUCCCGGAUCAGCACUGCCGGGGUGAAUA
rnacentral:rRNA from 1 species